rnacentral:rRNA from 1 species
UACAGAGGUCCCAAGCGUUGUUCGGAUUCACUGGGCGUAAAGGGUGCGUAGGUGGUCGGGUAAGUCUGAUGUGAAAUCUCCGAGCUCAACCCCGAGCGGUCACUGGAUACUGGCAGGCUUGAGUCUGGAAGAGGAGUGUGGAAUUCCUGGUGUAGCGGUGGAAUGCGCAGAUAUCAGGAGGAACACCUAUGGCGAAGGCAGCACUCUGGUACAUGACUGACGCUGAGACGCGAAAGCGUGGGGAGCAAACAGG